AAACCAACCGGGAUUGCCUCAGUAACGGCGAGUGAAGCGGCAAAAGCUCAAAUUUGGAACCGCUUUUAGCGGGUUGUAAUUUGAAGGCGUUUACUGGGACGGGGCGCUGCCUAUGUUCCUUGGAACAGGACGUCACAGAGGGUGAGAAUCCCGUGUGGCGGCGACCCUUGUGCCGUGAAGUGAGCGCCGACGAGUCGAGUUGUUUGGGAAUGCAGCUCUAAGUGGGUGGUAAAUUCCAUCUAAAGCUAAAUACUGGCGAGAGACCGAUAGCGAACAAGUACAGUGAUGGAAAGAUGAAAAGAACUCUGAAGAGAGAGUGAAACAGUACGUGAAAUUGUUGAAAGGGAAGGGCAUGGGGAUAGACUGAGCAAUCGGGAAGCGGUUGCUAGCGGGGCGGGACAAUUGCGCGGGAACGUGGCUUUCGAGUGUUAUAGCCCGCGCAGAUGCCGUCUUGCUGGCAGGUGGUUCCAUAAUGUCCCUAUGCCGC
rnacentral:rRNA from 1 species